rnacentral:lncRNA from 1 species
UUAUAUUUCUUCACAAAGUAAUACAAUUUAUUUCUAAAAUUUUCUAUAAAAAAAGAUUCUCAUGAUACUACUCUCCUAAUUGAUAAGAUUAGGAGAUCUUAUCAACCAUUGAUAAAGUUGGACCAGAAGUUUUACUAUUACUUUAUUCACUGUAAAUUUUCUGAAACUUUUCUUUAAAAGAAAUAAACUUACAUAUGCAUUCACAUAUUUCAUGUAGUUAUAUUCCAUUAUUGAGCUUUUUCAGACAAUAUGAAAUGUGUUAUUAAAUACUUAAGCUGAGUUAAAAGGAUCAUGACUUUACAUUACUUAUUAACUUAUAAGAAACCCCUCAUUUCAGUGAAUAUUUUAAAAACCACAAUUAAUACAAAGUAAAAUAAUACAAAUUUUGUUUGAAUACAAUUUGGAACCUUAAAAAAGUAUUAAUGAGUUUUUCACUAAUCUUCUCACACAGGUGACUAAAAAGGAUCUUUGGAUCCCCACCACGCCCUGAAUCAAAUAAACUAGCAUAAUCACUAUGUAAGAGCACCAAAAUGUACUUUUAGAAUCCAUGACU